rnacentral:rRNA from 1 species
UGGGGAAUCUUGGACAAUGGGGGCAACCCUGAUCCAGCCAUGCCGCGUGAGUGAUGAAGGCCUUAGGGUCGUAAAGCUCUUUCGCCUGUGAAGAUAAUGACGGUAGCAGGUAAAGAAACCCCGGCUAACUCCGUGCCAGCAGCCGCGGUAAUACGGAGGGGGUUAGCGUUGUUCGGAAUUACUGGGCGUAAAGCGCACGUAGGCGGACCAGAAAGUUGGGGGUGAAAUCCCGGGGGCUCAACCCCGGAACUGCCUCCAAAACUAUUGGUCUAGAGUUCGAGAGAGGUGAGUGGAAUUCCAAGUGUAGAGGUGAAAUUCGUAGAUAUUUGGAGGAACACCAGUGGCGAAGGCGGCUCACUGGCUCGAUACUGACGCUGAGGUGCGAAAGUGUGGGGAGCAAACAGGAUUAGAUACCCUGGUAGUCCACACCGUAAAACGAUGAAUGCCAGUCGUCGGGUAGCAUGCUAUUCGGUGACACACCUAACGGAUUAAGCAUUU